rnacentral:piRNA from 1 species
CCAGAAGGCCCUCUGCACACCAG